UACGGGGGGGGCAAGCGUUGUUCGGAAUUACUGGGCGUAAAGGGCUCGUAGGCGGCCAACUAAGUCGGGUGUGAAAUCUCGGGGCUUAACUCCGAAACUGCAUUCGAUACUGCCGUGCUUGAGGACUGGAGAGGAGACUGGAAUUUACGGUGUAGCGGUGAAAUGCGUAGAUAUCGUAAGGAAGACCAGUGGCGAAGGCGGGUCUCUGGACAGUUCCUGACGCUGAGGCACGAAGGCCAGGGGAGCAAACGGG
rnacentral:rRNA from 1 species